AAGUCGUAACAAGGUUUCCGUAGGUGGCAAGUUUGCCUGCCGAAGCCCCCACAGCGACUCUAAAGAAUUGCUUCAGUCGCCCCUAGGUACGGGGCAGGCGACGCCAUCAGACUGCGCUGGGAGCCCCCUUCGUCCCGGGGUUUACCAGCAGCUUCAGCGACCUCUGAAGUUCACAGAUCAAACGAUAGCGGCCACUUUGGUGGUUGAGAUAUGACCGGCCUCCGCUGUUAUCAGCUGGAGAGUUCGCGGAACCUGCGGAAGGAUCAUUACUGAGAGGGGCUUCGCGCUCCCGGGGGUUUCGGCCCUCAACUCUUCACCCAUUGUUUAUCUACCUUUGUUGCUUUGGCGGGCCUUGGGGUUCGCUCUGCGUCGGCCUUUGGGCUGGUGAGCGCCCGUCAGAGGCCCAUUAGAUUCUGUUUAUUAGUGAUGUCCGAGUAAAAACAAUUGUAAAAACUUUCAACAACGGAUCUCUUGGUUCCAGCAUCGAUGAAGAACGCAGCGAAAUGCGAUAAGUAAUGUGAAUUGCAGAAUUCAGUGAAUCAUCGAAUCUUUGAACGCACAUUGCGCCCCUCGGUAUUCCGGGGGGCAUGCCUGUUCGAGCGUCAUUACACCCCUCAAGCGUAGCUUGGUAUUGGGUCUUCGCCUCCGCGGCGUGCCCGAAAAGCAGUGGCGGUCCGGUGUGACUUUAAGCGUAGUAAAUUUUCAUCCCGCUUUAAAAGUUCGCCCCGUGACCGGCCAGACAACCCCAUAUAUCUCAAUGAUUGACCUCGGAUC
rnacentral:rRNA from 1 species